UACAGGCGGACUUCAGCCGAGCUUCUUCAAUAAGCGAUCUCCAUACGGACUUCAACAAUGCUAAUCGGACUUCCAUAGGACCCUUCAGACUCCUUCAGCGGACGAACCUCCGCAACGCCAUCCGAAGUCCACUGCCGGUCGACCCUCUGCUGGACUCCUCAUGAAACCAAACUUCUCCAACAAAAAAUCUCCAUCCGAGCUUCUACAGCAGAUGACUCCCACCUGCAGCAUCAACGCUCUAGGCACC
rnacentral:lncRNA from 1 species